rnacentral:rRNA from 1 species
UACGAAGGGGGCUAGCGUUGCUCGGAAUCACUGGGCGUAAAGCGCACGUAGGCGGCUUGUUAAGUCAGGGGUGAAAUCCUGGAGCUCAACUCCAGAACUGCCUUUGAUACUGGCGAGCUUGAGUCCGGGAGAGGUGAGUGGAACUGCGAGUGUAGAGGUGAAAUUCGUAGAUAUCAGGAGGAACACCGGUGGCGAAGGCGCCACUCUGGGCCGAAACUGACGCUGAGGAGCGAAAGCGUGGGUAGCAAACAGG